GUGCCAAGGAGGGUGCCCCACUGGAUGGCCCAGGAAGCAAAGGUGUGCUUCAUGCUUCUUGGCCAAGGGCCUCCGGUUUGCUUGGAUGUGCGUGUCUCUCUUCUCCCCCCGCAUGUCCCAGGGCAGGGGCCUUCUGGGGCACCUAUGCUGCAGUUCCCAGAGGCUUCAGGACAGGCUGUGGGACAUGUGGACGUCUGGGCUGGGCGCUGGCUGCACCGAGGGCGAUCAAGGCGGGAGUGAUGUGUGCUGCUUCCCCCGACAGGCCAGCAAAUGGCUUCUGAGCCGACUCCUGACAGCCUGUUUCCAAAGAGGAAAAAGCUUCAAGGAAGAAAUAAAAACAACUCUUUGUUUGGAGAGCAAAACCUGAACUGAGUUAGAGGUGACAGGACCGUCCCCUUCUGCUCUGCCGAAGGAGGGAAGGAGGUUCUCGCACCGGAAGGCUCUUUCCUCCCGUUUCCACCUGCCCUCUCCUUCUUGCCUUGCCCAUGGCAACUUUAAAGGUCACCUCCCCAGGAAGCCUUCCCUGCUCUCCAUCUCUGCUGCGGUAGCCCCUCCUGGCGGCGAUGUCCCUGCCUACUGUUUUGCGCUCACCAGGGUGCAAGCACCUUGAGAACAGGGGCCGGCUCUUCUUGGCUCUUCUUUCUGCUGCAGCGUCAUCAGCGCCUGCAAGGAUACCCAGCACGUGGCAGGCAUUCGAAACAUAGAUUUUAUUAUCUUAAGUAUGCAUUUAAGGGGCGCCCGGGUGGCUCAGUAGGUUAAGCACCUGACUCUUGCUUUUUGGCUCUUGCUUUUGCUUCAUGAUGUCAGGGUUGUGGGAUUGAGCCCCAAAUCAGGCUCCUGGCUCCAUGCAGAGUCUGCUUCCAAUCCUCUCUCCCUUGCCCUCUGCCCCUCCUACUUGUAUUCUCUCUUAAGUGAGUACAUCUUUAAAAAAAUAAAUAAGUGUUUAUAAGACCUAGCA
rnacentral:lncRNA from 12 species